CCCUAGUGUAUUCAAUCAAAUAUAUAUGCCUAUAAGUGAAGUUUAGAUAUGAAACCUUAGGUCGGUGAAGAAUAGAAGAAGCCGGUAUCCUUUAUUUUCCAUGAGGUGCCCAAACGUUCGCCCUCCAAUAGGUGAUCCACACGAAAUCAGGAUUAAGAAAACGCUCUGGCAAAAUCUUGUCUUAUCAAAUUCUCUUCCCGAGAACUAUCUUGCCUUGCUAGGAUCAAUUCCCAACACUCCAUCAAUUCUCUCUUAAAUGACCUAAACCCCUCUCUUAGCCUUUCAAAAAGAUCUUCCUAAACCCUUGUCC
rnacentral:lncRNA from 1 species